UACGGAGGAUCCGAGCGUUAUCCGGAUUUACUGGGCGUAAAGCGCGUGUAGGUGGUUCUGUAAGUAGGGCAUGAAAGCUCCCGGCUCAACUGGGAGAGGCCGUUCUAAACUGCAGAGCUAGAGGAUGGUAGAGGGAGGUGGAAUUCCAGGUGUAGCGGUGGAAUGCGCAGAUAUCUGGAGGAACACCAGUGGCGAAGGCGGCCUCCUGGACCAUUCCUGACACUCAGACGCGAAAGCUAGGGUAGCAAACGGGAUUAGAUACCCGGGUAGU
rnacentral:rRNA from 1 species